rnacentral:rRNA from 1 species
UACAGAGGUCCCAAGCGUUGUUCGGAUUCAUUGGGCGUAAAGGGUGCGUAGGCGGCGCGGUAAGUCGGGUGUGAAAUCUCGGAGCUUAACUCCGAAACUGCAUUCGAUACUGCCGUGCUUGAGGACUGGAGAGGAGACUGGAAUUUACGGUGUAGCGGUGAAAUGCGUAGAUAUCGUAAGGAAGACCAGUGGCGAAGGCGGGUCUCUGGACAGUUCCUGACGCUGAGGCACGAAGGCCAGGGGAGCGAAUGGG